GUUGUAGUCUGGAGAAGUGCUUUCCGCGCUGGACCGUGUAUAAGUCUCUUGGAACAGAGCGUCAUAGAGGGUGAGAAUCCCGUCUUUGACACGGACUACCAGUGCUUUGUGAUGCGCUCUCAAAGAGUCGAGUUGUUUGGGAAUGCAGCUCAAAAUGGGUGGUGAAUUCCAUCUAAAGCUAAAUAUUGGCGAGAGACCGAUAGCGAACAAGUACCGUGAGGGAAAGAUGAAAAGCACUUUGGAAAGAGAGUUAAACAGUACGUGAAAUUGCUGAAAGGGAAACGCUUGAAGUCAGUCGCGUCUGCCGGAACUCAGCCUUCCUUUUGGUUGGUGCACUUUCCGGUAGACGGGCCAGCAUCGAUUUCGACCGUCGGAUAAGGGCUGGGGAAAUGUGGCACCUUCGGGUGUGUUAUAGUCCUCAGUCGCAUACGGCGGUUGGGAUCGAGGAACGCAGCGCGCCGCAAGGCAGGGGUUCGCCCACUUUCGCGCUUAGGAUGCUGGCAUAAUGGCUUUAAACGACCCGUCUUGAAACACGGACCAAGGAGUCUAACAAACCUGCGAGUGUUUGGGUGGAAAACCCGAGCGCGUAAUGAAAGUGAAAGUUGAGACCUCUGUCGUGGAGGGCAUCGACGCCCGGACCUGACGUUCUCUGACGGAUCCGCGGUAGAGCAUGUUUGUUGGGACCCGAAAGAUGGUGAACUAUGCCUGAAUAGGGUGAAGCCAGAGGAAACUCUGGUG
rnacentral:rRNA from 1 species